rnacentral:rRNA from 1 species
UACGGAGGGUGCAAGCGUUACUCGGAAUUACUGGGCGUAAAGGGUGCGUAGGUGGUUUGAUAAGUUAUCUGUAAAAGCCCUGGGCUCAACCUGGGAAGGCCAGAUAAUACUGUUGAACUGGAGUAUGGGAGAGGGUAGUGGAAUUUCCGGUGUAGCGGUGAAAUGCGUAGAGAUCGGAAGGAACACCAGUGGCGAAGGCGGCUACCUGGCCUGAUACUGACACUGAAGCACGAAAGCGUGGGGAGCAAACAGG